rnacentral:rRNA from 1 species
CACGUAGGGCGCAAGCGUUGUCCGGAAUUAUUGGGCGUAAAGAGCUCGUAGGCGGACUGUCACGUCCGCUGUGAAAAGCUAGGGCUUAACCCUGGCCUUGCAGUGGAUACGGGCAGACUAGAGGUAGGUAGGGGAGAAUGGAAUUCCCGGUGUAGCGGUGAAAUGCGUAGAUAUCAGGAGGAACACCGGUGGUGUAAACGGCUUUCUGGACCAUAACUGACGCUGAGGCACGAAAGCGUGGGUAGCAAACAGG